rnacentral:rRNA from 1 species
UUUGAUCCUGGCUCAGGAUGAACGCUAGCUACAGGCUUAACACAUGCAAGUCGAGGGGCAGCAUCAUCAAAGCUUGCUUUGAUGGAUGGCGACCGGCGCACGGGUGAGUAACACGUAUCCAACCUGCCGACAACACUGGGAUAGCCUUUCGAAAGAAAGAUUAAUACCGGAUGGCAUAGUUUUUCCGCAUGGGAUAAUUAUUAAAGAAUUUCGGUUGUCGAUGGGGAUGCGUUCCAUUAGGCAGUUGGCGGGGUAACGGCCCACCAAACCAACGAUGGAUAGGGGUUCUGAGAGGAAGGUCCCCCACAUUGGAACUGAGACACGGUCCAAACUCCUACGGGAGGCAGCAGUGAGGAAUAUUGGUCAAUGGACGAGAGUCUGAACCAGCCAAGUAGCGUGAAGGAUGACUGCCCUAUGGGUUGUAAACUUCUUUUAUACGGGAAUAAAGUUAGCCACGUGUGGCUUUUUGUAUGUACCGUAUGAAUAAGGAUCGGCUAACUCCGUGCCAGCAGCCGCGGUAAUACGGAGGAUCCGAGCGUUAUCCGGAUUUAUUGGGUUUAAAGGGAGCGUAGGCGGGUUGUUAAGUCAGUUGUGAAAGUUUGCGGCUCAACCGUAAAAUUGCAGUUGAUACUGGCGACCUUGAGUGCAACAGAGGUAGGCGGAAUUCGUGGUGUAGCGGUGAAAUGCUUAGAUAUCACGAAGAACUCCGAUUGCGAAGGCAGCUUACUGGAUUGUAACUGACGCUGAUGCUCGAAAGUGUGGGUAUCAAACAGGAUUAGAUACCCUGGUAGUCCACACAGUAAACGAUGAAUACUCGCUGUUGGCGAUAUACGGUCAGCGGCCAAGCGAAAGCAUUAAGUAUUCCACCUGGGGAGUACGCCGGCAACGGUGAAACUCAAAGGAAUUGACGGGGGCCCGCACAAGCGGAGGAACAUGUGGUUUAAUUCGAUGAUACGCGAGGAACCUUACCCGGGCUUAAAUUGCAACUGACGGAACCGGAAACGGUUCUUUCUUCGGACAGUUGUGAAGGUGCUGCAUGGUUGUCGUCAGCUCGUGCCGUGAGGUGUCGGCUUAAGUGCCAUAACGAGCGCAACCCUUACGGGUAGUUACCAUCAGGUUAUGCUGGGGACUCUACCCGGACUGCCGUCGUAAGAUGUGAGGAAGGUGG